GACGAACCGUGCAAACGUUUAUUCGGAAUCACUGGGCUUAAAGGGCGCGUAGGCGGGCCGCCAGGUCCGGGGUGAAAGCCUCCAGCUCAACUGGAGAAGUGCCUUGGAUACCGGCGGCCUCGAGGGAGGUAGGGGCGUGCGGAACUUCGGGUGGAGCGGUGAAAUGCGUAGAUAUCCGAAGGAACACCGGUGGCGAAAGCGGCGCGCUGGAUCUCUUCUGACGCUGAGGCGCGAAAAGCGUGGGGAGCAAACAGG
rnacentral:rRNA from 1 species